rnacentral:rRNA from 1 species
GAUGAACGCUAGCGGCAGGCUUAACACAUGCAAGUCGAGGGGUAACAGGAAAAAGCUUGCUUUUUCGCUGACGACCGGCGCACGGGUGCGUAACGCGUAUAGAAUCUACCUUUUACUGAGGGAUAGCCUUUAGAAAUGAAGAUUAAUACCUCAUAGUAUCAAAUUUUCGCAUGAUUAUUUGAUUAAAGAUUUAUUGGUAAAAGAUGACUAUGCGUCCUAUUAGCUAGAUGGUAAGGUAACGGCUUACCAUGGCAACGAUCCCUAGCUGGUCUGAGAGGAUGAUCAGCCACACUGGAACUGAGACACGGUCCAG